AUGGGGGGGCUAAUUUUCGGUUCCUCCUUCAGAUUUGUUCCGUAAAACUUGUUGGGUACAAUUCAAUUUCCUCCCCCUUUCCCCUGAACGAAAAAUUCGAAACCUACAAUUCAAUUUCCUCCCUUCUUGGCUUUCCGCUUUACUCAUCUCCCGGUGGUUCUUUCUCUCCAUACGAUUCGAUUUCGGUGGGCCCGUUCACUAACUAAGCUUUCAAGGGAACCCAUCAACGGUUUGCUUGCUGGGGAACUCGGAGACUACUAUGAUUUAGUUAUCAUUUAUUUUUUUACUUAAUUUUAUCCAUAUAUAAUAUGUGGGUAAAUUUACACUAAACAAUUGUGAUAAGCCAAUAUGCCAAACGACUUUGAAAGCAUUGAUUUUGUGUAUAGUUUGCAUUUUUGCAUUGUGAAUGUUGAAUUUUGUGUUUAAUUUGGA